CGUGCGCACAAGCGUGCGUGCGCGCGAACGCCGCAAGCGGCGAGCUCGUGAGCGCGCUGCCGCCUGGACCGCCCCUGGGCCUUAGAGAGGACACCAGUAAGGGCCAAGGAAGGAGGGAAGUGGCCCGUCUUCAGCUCCUGAGCAACUUCGGCGCUUCGGCUCCCGUACUGCUGACUAUUCGGAUCUUUAGGGCAGAACACGAGACGGUCAACUCGCUGCUCCGCGGACCUGACUGCGUUCUGAGGUAAGGAAAGGAAAAGAAAGCUGGAAACACUGGAAAAAUAAACGAGUUCUUUCCUGUGAAGCCAAGGCCAUCUGCAUCAGGCACAUUGGAAGAUUGGACAUGCUGAAGACACCUCGAGGCCAACGCUCUGAUAUUCAACAUCAACACCCUUCUUGCUAGUCUAACCUAUCUACAGAAACACAAGAAAAAAAUUUCCAUGUAAAAAAUGGUAAACGGCAGUUGAAGAAUAUCAACAAUUAUUGACAGUUUAUUUAUUUUCAGAAAGAGAGUGAGCACAUGCAGGGGAGGGGCAGAGAGAAGAGACAGAAUCCCAAACCAGCUCCACACCAUUACCACAGAGCCCGAUGUAGGGCUGAAACUCAUGAACCGCAAGAUCACGACCUGGGCUGAGAUCAAGAGCUGGAAGCUUAACCAACUGAGCCAUCCAGUGAGACUUUUGAAAGGCUGCAAAUGAAUCAAAAAAAAAAAAAAAAAAACUAGAGAAGAAAAGAAGCAUCCAUAAUAUAGUCUCAUCUUCCAUAACUCUUACUACCAAAGUGCACGACUCAGGUAAACAACACAGAGAUCAUCUCAUACAAGCACAAAGGAAGCAUGAAAAAAGCUGAACCUGAGCAUCAGGAGACCCUCUGAGACUUUGCCCUGGUUGUUCCGCUAACUGCUUAUGUGUGAUGAGUUGUCAAGUCUCCAGGGUCCCUCAACACUUGGAAUAAGGAAAUAGGAUCUUUCCCUCUGAGAGGUAAACUGUAUGAUGUAUCUGAGCAUCCAUUUACUCUUCCAGUUCUUCCCAUUGACAGAUAGUUUUUAACCAUCUUCUAUGUGUCAGGCAACAUAAUGCACAGUGACCCAGGGAUGAACAAGACAGACAAGGUCUCAUGGAGCUUGCAUUUACUAUGGGGGAUGGACAAUAAUAAGUCAUCAAACAGAUUAAUCUUAUAAUGCCAGUAAUGUUAAGUGCUUUGAAACAAACAGAUGUGGUAAGUGUGAUGGGGAGUGGUACUCUAGAUUGAGGGGUCAUCAGAGGCAUCCCUGUGGAGGUGAAACUGAAUUUGGAAACAUGACUGGCAAGAAGGAACUAACUCUCCGAAGAUCUGGAGGAAGUGUUCCAGAUAGGAUGGCACGUGCAAAGUCCCUGAGGAAAGAAGGAAGAGCAAAAAGAGCUCAGGGAAGAGUUGGAGAUGAGUCAGAGAUAGAGGGGUCAUAUCAUGGAGGCUUUUAUAGGCAAUACAAAGAAGAAGAGUGAUAUAACUUAAUUCACACUUCAUGUUUAAAAAGAUCAUCCCAACUGCUAGAUGAAGAGGAAUGAGUUUGGAGGUAAUUUCAAUAGUUGAGGUAAGGGACUGCACAAGUGGCAUAAGUAAAAAAGGUAAGAAAGGUCCUGGCCAGAUAUAUUUUGGAAGAGAAGUGACAAGGAUCAGAACAUACUAUCCCAAAAUAUGGCACCUUGGUAUACUGAAUAUUUUGAGCUGAAGGAAUUUGAGAAAACAGGAAACUCUCUCUGAUCUUUUUCCACCCUGCUCCCUUGAAGCAGGUCAUAAGACCCUCAUGGGAGAGGUGCCCUCCCUAUACCCAGAGAAGGACACUGAGAGAAAGAAAUCCAAACAAACAGACCUUGCUAGUUUUCCCUAGGUUAUUAUCCUUAGUCAUACCCCCUUUUUUGUGCUAUCCCAUUUUUUUUCUUUAUCCUAAUAUUAAACACACACAGAUUGACCUGUCUCUUCAGGUCUUUGUUACCUUUAUAGAGGCUCCCAUAUCAUGUAAAAUUUAUAUGAAAUAAAUGUGUAGGCAUUUCUCCUGUUAAUCUGUCUUUGUCAGUUUAAUUUUCAGACUCAGCCAGGGACCCUGAGAGGGUCAAGGGAAACUUUUUCCUCCUCUACACAAAUCAAGAGGGUAUAGUGAUUGUUGGAUGUAGGGAGUGAAAGAAUUAAGGCUGGUAGAUGAUGUUAUUUCCUAAAAUAAGGAAAGCCAAGGAAGGAACAAAUUUAGGGGUAGAGAUCAGGAAUUCUGUUUUUGAAUACGUUAAACUCGACAUACCUACUGGACAGAUUUUCAAGAAGAAUAAACAAGACAGUAUAUUUAAACACCAAAUACAGGGGCGCCUGGGUGGCCCAGUCAGUUAAGCAUCCAACUUUGGCUCAGGUCAUGAUUUCACGAUUCGUGAGUUUGAGCCCCACGUUAGGUUCUGAGCCUAACAGCUCAGAGCCUGGAGCCUGCUUCAGAUUCUGUGUCUCCCUCUCUCUCUGCCCCUCCCCCACUCACACUCUAUCUCUCUCUCUAAAUAAUAAACAAAAUUUUAAACACUUAAUAUAUAAUCAAUGCUCAAAGAGUUAUUUUCUUUCCAAACUUAUUAAAUCUUCUAAAGUCAAGUGCCCUAAUAUGAAAAGAGAAGAUAAUAUCUAUCUUACAGACUCAUAGUGAACCUAACAGACUUAAUAUAUGUGAAUAAAGAUUAUCAAUAAUAACACGUAUGUGGCUGUUACCUGUGCCAAGUACUGUUUUAAGUGAGUUACAUUUAUUUAAUUUAAUCCUCUCAAAAACAAUCUAAGGUAUCACCUCACGCCCGUCAGAGUGGCCAAAAUGAACAAAUCAGGAGACUAUAGAUGCUGGAGAGGAUGUGGAGAAACGGGAACCCUCUUGCACUGUUGGUGGGAAUGCAAAUUGGUGCAGCCGCUCUGGAAAACAGUGUGGAGGUUCCUCAAAAAAUUAAAAAUAGACCUACCCUAUGACCCAGCAAUAGCUCUGCUAGGAAUUUACCCAAGGGAUACAGGAGUGCUGGUGCAUAGGGCCACUUGUACCCCAAUGUUUAUAGCAGCACUCUCAACAAUAGCUAAAUUGUGGAAAGAGCCUAAAUGUCCAUCAACUGACGAAUGGAUAAAGAAAUUGUGGUUUAUAUACACAAUGGAGUACUAUG